AUGAACGCUGGCGGCGUGCCUAAUACAUGCAAGUCGAGCGAACGGACGAGAAGCUUGCUUUUCUGAUGUUAGCGGCGGACGGGUGAGUAACACGUGGAUAACCUACCUAUAAGACUGGGAUAACUUCGGGAAACCGGAGCUAAUACCGGAUAAUAUUUUGAACCGCAUGGUUCAAAAGUGAAAGACGGUCUUGCUGCCACUUAUAGAUGGAUCCGCGCUGCAUUAGCUAGUUGGUAAGGUAACGGCUUACCAAGGCAACGAUGCAUAGCCGACCUGAGAGGGUGAUCGGCCACACUGGAACUGAGACACGGUCCAGACUCCUACGGGAGGCAGCAGUAGGGAAUCUUCCGCAAUGGGCGAAAGCCUGACGGAGCAACGCCGCGUGAGUGAUGAAGGUCUUCGGAUCGUAAAACUCUGUUAUUAGGGAAGAACAUAUGUGUAAGUAACUGUGCACAUCUUGACGGUACCUAAUCAGAAAGCCACGGCUAACUACGUG
rnacentral:rRNA from 1 species